rnacentral:rRNA from 1 species
UGGGGAAUCUUGCGCAAUGGCCGAGAGGCUGACGCAGCGACGCCGCGUGGGGGAUGAAGCAUUUCGGUGUGUAAACCCCUGUUGCUCGGGACGAACGACCCUUUUCGAGGGGUGUGACGGUACCGAGUGAGGAAGCACCGGCUAACUCCGUGCCAGCAGCCGCGGUAAUACGGAGGGUGCGAGCGUUGUCCGGAAUCACUGGGCGUAAAGGGCGCGUAGGUGGUUAGAUGCGCCGGUGGUGAAAGCGCAGGGCUCAACCCUGCGUCGGCCAUCGGGACGGUCUGACUUGAGCACUGUAGAGGCAGGUGGAAUUCCGGGUGUAGCGGUGGAAUGCGUAGAGAUCCGGAAGAACACCGGUGGCGAAGGCGGCCUGCUGGGCAGUAGCUGACACUGAGGCGCGACAGCGUGGGGAGCAAACAGGAUUAGAUACCCUGGUAGUCCACGCCGUAAACGAUGGGCACUAGGUGCUUGGGGGCGCGACCCGCG